UACGUAGGGGGCAAGCGUUGUCCGGAUUUAUUGGGCGUAAAGAGCGUGUAGGCGGUUCGGUAGGUCCGUUGUGAAAACUCGAGGCUCAACCUCGAGACGCCGAUGGAAACCCUCGAACUAGAGUCCGGAAGGAGGAGAGUGGAAUUCCUGGUGUAGCGGUGAAAUGCGCAGAUAUCAGGAAGAACACCCGUGGCUAAGGCGGCUCUCUAGUACGGUACUGACGCUGAGACGCGAAAGCGUGGGGAGCGAACAGG
rnacentral:rRNA from 1 species